UACGUAGGGUGCAAGCGUUCUCCGGAAUUAUUGGGCGUAAAGAGCGUGUAGGCGGCCCGAUUAGUCCGCUGUGAAAGUCCAGGGCUCAACCCUGGAAUGCCGGUGGAUACUGUCGGGCUAGAGUCCGGAAGGGGCGAGUGGAAUUCCUGGUGUAGCGGUGAAAUGCGCAGAUAUCAGGAGGAACACCAAUGGCGAAGGCAGCUCGCUGGGACGUGACUGACGCUGAGACGCGAAAGCGUGGGGAGCAAACAGG
rnacentral:rRNA from 1 species